rnacentral:rRNA from 1 species
AUGAACGCUAGCUACAGGCUUAACACAUGCAAGUCGAGGGGCAGCAUUUUAGUUUGCUUGCAAACUGAAGAUGGCGACCGGCGCACGGGUGAGUAACACGUAUCCAACCUGCCGAUAACUCCGGAAUAGCCUUUCGAAAGAAAGAUUAAUACCGGAUGGCAUACGAAUAUCGCAUGAUAUUUUUAUUAAAGAAUUUCGGUUAUCGAUGGGGAUGCGUUCCAUUAGUUUGUUGGCGGGGUAACGGCCCACCAAGACUACGAUGGAUAGGGGUUCUGAGAGGAAGGUCCCCCACAUUGGAACUGAGACACGGUCCAAACUCCUACGGGAGGCAGCAGUGAGGAAUAUUGGUCAAUGGGCGCGAGCCUGAACCAGCCAAGUAGCGUGAAGGAUGAAGGCUCUAUGGGUCGUAAACUUCUUUUAUAUGGGAAUAAAGUUUUCCACGUGUGGAAUUUUGUAUGUACCAUAUGAAUAAGGAUCGGCUAACUCCGUGCCAGCAGCCGCGGUAAUACGGAGGAUCCGAGCGUUAUCCGGAUUUAUUGGGUUUAAAGGGAGCGUAGGUGGAUUGUUAAGUCAGUUGUGAAAGUUUGCGGCUCAACCGUAAAAUUGCAGUUGAAACUGGCAGUCUUGAGUACAGUAGAGGUGGGCGGAAUUCGUGGUGUAGCGGUGAAAUGCUUAGAUAUCACGAAGAACUCCGAUUGCGAAGGCAGCUCACUAGACUGUCACUGACACUGAUGCUCGAAAGUGUGGGUAUCAAACAGGAUUAGAUACCCUGGUAGUCCACACAGUAAACGAUGAAUACUCGCUGUUUGCGAUAUACAGUAAGCGGCCAAGCGAAAGCAUUAAGUAUUCCACCUGGGGAGUACGCCGGCAACGGUGAAACUCAAAGGAAUUGACGGGGGCCCGCACAAGCGGAGGAACAUGUGGUUUAAUUCGAUGAUACGCGAGGAACCUUACCCGGGCUUAAAUUGCAACAGAAUAUAUUGGAAACAGUAUAGCCGUAAGGCUGUUGUGAAGGUGCUGCAUGGUUGUCGUCAGCUCGUGCCGUGAGGUGUCGGCUUAAGUGCCAUAACGAGCGCAACCCUUAUCUUUAGUUACUAACAGGUCAUGCUGAGGACUCUAGAGAGACUGCCGUCGUAAGAUGUGAGGAAGGUGGGGAUGACGUCAAAUCAUCAUGCCCUUUAUGACCUGGGCUACACACGUACUACAAUGGCGUUAAACAAAGAGAAGCAAGACCGCGAGGUGGAGCAAAACUCAGAAACAACGUCCCAGUUCGGACUGCAGGCUGCAACUCGCCUGCACGAAGUCGGAAUUGCUAGUAAUCGCAGAUCAGCAUGCUGCGGUGAAUACGUUCCCGGGCCUUGUACACACCGCCCGUCACACCAUGGGAGUUUGUAACACCCGAAGUCAGUGACCCAACCGCAAGGAGGGAGCUGCCGAAGGUGGGAUAAGCGACUGGGGUG